CCUACGGGGGGCUGCAGUCGAGAAUCUUCGGCAAUGGGCGCAAGCCUGACCGAGCGACGCCGCGUGGAGGACGAAGGCCUUCGGGUUGUAAACUCCUGUCGAGGGGGAACAAGGUGCCGUGCAGAACGGUGCUUGAGUGAUCCCUGGAGGAAGCACGGGCUAAGUUCGUGCCAGCAGCCGCGGUAAGACGAACCGUGCGAACGUUAUUCGGAAUCACUGGGCUUAAAGCGCGUGCAGGCGGGUCGGCACGUCCGCGCCUGAAAUCCCCCGGCUCA
rnacentral:rRNA from 1 species